rnacentral:rRNA from 1 species
UACGUAGGCGGAAAAUUAAGUCAGUAGUGAAAUCCUGCAGCUUAACUGUAGAACUGUUAUUGAUACUGGUUUUCUUGAAUAUAGUUGAAGUAGGCGGAAUGCGUAAUGUAGCGGUGAAAUGCUUAGAUAUUACACAGAACACCGAUUGCGAAGGCAGCUUACUAAGCUAUGAUUGACGCUGAGGUACGAAAGCGUGGGGAGCGAACAGGAUUAGAUACCCUGGUAGUCC